rnacentral:rRNA from 1 species
UACGUAGGCAGCAAGCGUUGUUCGGAGUUACUGGGCGUAAAGGGUGCGUAGGCGGCUUCUUAAGUCUGGUGUGAAAUCUCCCGGCUCAACUGGGAGGGUGCGCCGGAUACUGAGGGGCUAGAGUGUGGGAGAGGAAAGUGGAAUUCCUGGUGUAGCGGUGAAAUGCGUAGAUAUCAGGAGGAACACCGGUGGUGUAAACGGCUUUCUGGACCGUAACUGACGCUGAGGCACGAAAGCGUGGGUAGCAAACAGG